AGUGAACGCUGGCGGUAGGCCUAACACAUGCAAGUCGAACGGCAGCACAGUAAGAGCUUGCUCUUACGGGUGGCGAGUGGCGGACGGGUGAGGAAUACAUCGGAAUCUACUUUUUCGUGGGGGAUAACGUAGGGAAACUUACGCUAAUACCGCAUACGACCUACGGGUGAAAGCGGGGGAUCUUCGGACCUUGCGCGAUUGAAUGAGCCGAUGUCGGAUUAGCUAGUUGGCGGGGUAAAGGCCCACCAAGGCGACGAUCCGUAGCUGGUCUGAGAGGAUGAUCAGCCACACUGGAACUGAGACACGGUCCAGACUCCUACGGGAGGCAGCGGUGGGGAAUAUUGGACAAUGGGCGCAAGCCUGAUCCAGCCAUACCGCGUGGGUGAAGAAGGCCUUCGGGUUGUAAAGCCCUUUUGUUGGGAAAGAAAAGCAGCAGGUUAAUACCCCGCUGUUCUGACGGUACCCAAAGAAUAAGCACCGGCUAACUUCGUG
rnacentral:rRNA from 1 species